rnacentral:lncRNA from 1 species
GUGGUUCAUAUUUUUGACUGGUGACUGGCAGGUUUACACAAAUAAAUGAAUAUUAUAAUUCGGUAGAUAAGCAACUACAUUACAUUUAUAGGAUUUAAGCACUUUCCAUGAAAGCUUUGCUCCAACGAGAUGCCUCUGGUACAGGCUGCUAAUUCACCAACACACGAGCCUGGAGGCCUGGGUUUGACAUUAAACGAGUCUGGGCCGUGCCUCUGUGGGGGUUCCUGCUUCAAUGGGGAAAUAGAAAACGCUUGGUAAGUAGAAAGAGUCAUUGUUGACAUUUUUAAGCCAGCUGGGAGCCUUGAGAAUUUGAAAUUUGACCUACAUACAAGGGAAUGGACCUUUCACAGAGUAUGAAGUGCUAGGUGGGGUUUGUAGAGGACAAUGGCAUGUCGGAGAUGGCCAGCGUUGCAUCUGGGCCCACAUAAUCCCUCCCCAGCUUUGCCGGCUCCAGGCUCCUGGUGAGGUGCCAACUGGUUCUCAGUUGCCGCAGGUGUGAGGGGUGGCUUCAAGUUUUUGUGGCUCUGGAGUGUGACAUUCCUGGUAGAUGAAAGGGCUCCUGGAGGACACCCACCAAAGCGGAGGCUGCGUCUGAAUGAACACACAAGAAGCAGGUGCGCCAGGGAGGUGUGGGGUGGGAGGCAAACUCUGGAUCAAGGCAAAGGUAAAUGAGUCAGCGGCGGCCCUCCAGCCAGCUCAUGCCGGGUUCCUAGGAGAUGCUCCUUGAGGCUCUGUCACUGACAUAGACGGUGAGGUGCAAGGAGGCUGCGGAAGAGGAUGUGGAGGAAGGCGCUGAGGGUGGUUUCCAUUGGUAGAGCUGAUUCUGCCUGGCCCAGUGGCAGUUGCCCCACAUGAAUGGAGCUGCUCUUUCCUGGGGGUUUCCAGUGGAAGGCAUGGGAGUGGCUUUUCAGAUCUGGGGUACAUAAAAAGUUGAGGCACUGGUGUCUGUGGCUAAUGGUAGUAAUCACAGCUCACAUAGCAAAGUAACAUUAACCUUUUAACUUUGAGCUGUUGCAAAAUUACCAUUUUAAUAUCAUAUAUACCAU